GACGAACGCUGGCGGCGUGCUUAACACAUGCAAGUCGAACCGAAAGGCCCUGCUUUUGUGGGGUGCUCGAGUGGCGAACGGGUGAGUAACACGUGAGUAACCUGCCCUUGACUUUGGGAUAACUUCAGGAAACUGGGGCUAAUACCGGAUAGGAGCUCCUGCUGCAUGGUGGGGGUUGGAAAGUUUCGGCGGUUGGGGAUGGACUCGCGGCUUAUCAGCUUGUUGGUGGGGUAGUGGCUUACCAAGGCUUUGACGGGUAGCCGGCCUGAGAGGGUGACCGGCCACAGUGGGACUGAGAUACGGCCCAGACUCCUACGGGAGGCAGCAGUGUGGAAUAUUGCACAAUGGGCGGAAGCCUGAUGCAGCAACGCCGCGUGCGGGAUGACGGCCUUCGGGUUGUAAACCGCUUUCGCCUGUGACGAAGCGUGAGUGACGGUAAUGGGUAAAGAAGCACCGGCUAACUACGUG
rnacentral:rRNA from 1 species